AUAAAUAACUUAAAUAAAUUCUUUUAGAAAAAGAGCUUAAAGUAUAAAGACUUUUAUUAAUAGCAGCUUAUAAAUAAGUUAUUUUGUGUUUGGAUUUUUAGUUAUAAAAAUACUUAAUUUAAAGUUGUAGCAUUUUAAAGUUAUAGUAU